GACGAACGCUGGCGGCGUGCUUAACACAUGCAAGUCGAGCGGUAAGGCCCUUUCGGGGGUACGACGAGCGGCGAACGGGUGAGUAACACGUGGGUGACCUGCCCUCCAGCUCUGGGAUAAGCCUGGGAAACCGGGUCUAAUACUGGAUAUGACUCCAUGACGCAUGUUGUGGGGUGGAAAGCCUUGUGCGGCUGAGGAUGGGCCCGCGGCCUAUCAGCUUGUUGGUGGGGUGAUGGCCUACCAAGGCGACGACGGGUAGCCGGCCUGAGAGGGCGACCGGCCACACUGGGACUGAGACACGG
rnacentral:rRNA from 1 species